UUGGCUCCUGUCCAUCACGUGUGCUGCAAGGACCAAUUGGUAUUGCGUAUAUUCCUAUCAUUUCGUCGGCGAGUUUUCAUCCAAACAGUACUAUCAGACUGUCGGAGUCCCAGUGUUGCAAACAACGUGUGCAUUUACACCUAACUUUGACGCUCAGAAUGUACAAGAUCUGAUCAUAUCUCGAUGCAGUUUCUUUAAUAUUUCUUCCAAAAUUCUGUAUCAUCGUCUAGUAUGAACUGGCUACUUCCAUCUUCAAAUUGGAUCCUUUCCGUACUCCAACAUCUGAGUGAUCUUCAAGCUACUACUGCCUUCAAUGAGAGGGACCAAUUGAUGUAUAACGUUGCUGAAGACAUCUUGAACUCAGUCUCGUAAUGAGGAGACACUGAAGAUGACAGUGGACAGCCAAGCUGAAAUUCCUACCUGGACAAGAGAAAUAAAGCAAAUUGAAGCACUUUCAAAUCUGAAGACAAUAUUUUCAACUGAACUCUAUUUUGAUCGAAUAGGAGAUAUACAUUUGAUCAAAGAUUUUACUUUGUCCAUCAACUUGACAAGUUUCCUUCACAAAGGCAACAGUUGACUUUUCAAUGCAUUCUGCAAUAAAUGACUGUAAAACACCUUGGCUAAAUAGUUUGAAAAAAGAUUGAAAAUAGUUGCCCUUACAAAUCCUUCCAACGGGACAUGGGACUCCUGCAAUGGAUUCUAAGUUGUGAAAUCACCGACAGGAUUCAGGAGUGAACUUCAGCAUGAACUCUAACUUUCAAGAUUGAUUUAUUCCAAGAUUUGCUGGUAACAUUUUGUAGAAUGAAAAAAAAGUUUGGUUUUGGAGUGUCUGGUGCACUCCUGGUAUGUUGAAUGAUUCUUAUACUGAGGUCCAAAAACUUGCUCCAAUUUCAGAUUUAAACUUGACUAGCCUUUCCAUAGCAGUGACUCUAUUCCCCAAGCCUUAAGUAACUCAACAGCAAUUGCUAAUGCAUGCACAGUCCUUGUGGCAUAAAACGGUUUAGACAAUUUCUCAAGUAUAGCUUUUUAACUUGGCAUGUCAAUAACUUUGUACAUAAGUCCUCGCAGCAUUCUUUAAACUUGAACUGAAAUUGGAGAAGUUUUCGACCUCAUCUGUACUCCAACAUUUACUUCCAAGUUGAGACUUUGCCAGCUGAUGUUCUUUGACCUUUAAGAAAUGUUUCAUUUCCAACUCUGUCGUGCCAUGUCAAAGUUGGAUCUUUUUAAGGUGCAGACAAUGAAAAUUACGAAAAAUUUUAGUCAUGCUUUGAAUCUCAUUGCCCAAAACUGUUUAUAUUUGAAACGUAGAUUGAUGAAUGAACUUUAAACAAAUCGUCACAUUUUGUACCAACAGCUUACACAUUUUUUUUAUGUAAAAGUUGUAAAAUGUUAUGCGCCCGAAAUUGAAAAUCAAAAUAAUGAAAAUAGCACAAAGAUUGCUUGCCUCAACAUCAACUGGCAACUUCUCAACUAAGUGGUCAACCAAGGAUAUUUGUAACCUGUUACUGAAAGUCGAGUCUAUUUGUUUACAAACAUGCCAA